rnacentral:lncRNA from 1 species
GGAGAGGACAGGAAGAGACCCUGACGCUCAGCCUCCACCCCAGGGAAACAGAGCGGCCCUGAACAGCAGAAAGCUCAGGUCUAACUCCCUAAUCUUCAGUCCCCUUUGAGGGAAACAACUCUCUUAUUCAGUUUUCAGCUUUCAUGGAAUUUUACACUUAAAAUUAUUCCAAUAGUGGAGCAGCCAUUUUCCAAUAACGUGGUCUCAGAUAAUACAGAUGGAAAAUUGCUAUUUGUCACCUUCAUUCCUUACAUCCAACUGUGUAGCAUGCUGUUUAGUUAACUGCAAAUAAAGGAUUAUCUGGCUGUGACCUUUACAAGUACAACUUUUAGUCAUUUAAUUAUUUCACUUGUGGUCAUGGAAAGUCUAAGGUGGCCCCUCUGAAAACUGAGGCUGGAUUUGUUGAUGUUUGGAUGAGGUGCGGCUCUUGGGCAGUGAGGUGGUAAGAAGUUUCCCCAGUGCUCUGGCUGCUGAGGGGAAGAUGACAGG